UGGCACUGGAAGGGACCUCAGGAAUCAAA
rnacentral:piRNA from 2 species